GACGAACGCUGGCGGCGUGCUUAACACAUGCAAGUCGAACGGGGAAGCGCUUGCCUUUUUGGCGGGUGUGGAUGAGUGGCGAACGGGUGAGUAACACGUGAGUAACCUGCCCUCUUCUUCUGGAUAACCUCAUGAAAGUGGGGCUAAUACGGGGUAUUCCGGGUCUGUCGCAUGGCGGGUUUGGGAAAGAUUGCGCCUUUGGGUGUUUUUGGGGGGGGAUGGGCUCGCGGCCUAUCAGCUUGUUGGUGGGGUGAUGGCAGACCAAGGCGGUGACGGGUAGCCGGAAUGAGAGGGUGGACGGCCGGUCUGAGAGGGAGACACGGCACAGCGUGCUGCGGAAGGCGGCAGUAGGGCAUCGUGCGGCAGCAGCGCGGAACUGAUGCCGCGGCGCGGAAGGCGGAAUGAGGGCCUUCGGGUUGGGGACCUCUUCCGCCGGUGUGGAAAGCCUGCUCCUGUGUGAGUAGAUUGACGGUACCUGGAUAAGAAGCGCCGGCUAACUACGUG
rnacentral:rRNA from 1 species